GGAUGCUGGAGCCAACAUCUGCUACCCCAUUGAUCACCAGAGUUGAUUUGGCUGAUCUGGCUGGCUAUGUGGGUGUCCCCUUCCUCCCUCACCACUCAAUGUGCAUUCCUCCCAAAGCUGCCCCCACAGUCGAAGAAGACAGCUUUUACCGCUAGUAGACUUGUAGGCAAGCACACAGAAUGUUGUAAGGAUGUUGUCAAGUUUUAAUGUUUAAUGUGUCAAGUUUAUUGUAUUUUUUCAUGAUAAAAAUAAUAAAACUCACUGAAGUAUAUGUGAAAAAUAUGUAAAAGUUAAAGGAUAAAUAGCAGGUAUAUCUGAGAGGCGCAAUUUCAGGGCAUGUUUGCUUCUGGUU
rnacentral:snRNA from 1 species